AUAAAAGUUUGCCUUUAAAUCAACCGCAUAACGAGUGCAAAACAAAGUGCAUAGCCAAUUAAACAAACGAAAUACUAAAUGAAUUUCGCGCGGUGAUUCUUUGUUGAGUCAUUCAUCAGCAUCGUUUUGAUAGAUUAAUUCUCUGACUAGAUCGUUACGAGUAAUACGUACUUUGUGAGCAAUAAUUUUGUGCCAAGUUUGUAUGCACUCUAGCACGAUCGUUCCUCAAAUCAUCUAUAUUUUUAAUUCGCCGAUCAAUAUCGUAAGUUCGAGGGUAAUGCACUUAACUUAAGUGACUUAAUAACU